rnacentral:rRNA from 1 species
UUAAGCGACUAAGCGUACACGGUGGAUGCCCUGGCAGUCAGAGGCGAUGAAGGACGUGCUAAUCUGCGAUAAGCGUCGGUAAGGUGAUAUGAACCGUUAUAACCGGCGAUUUCCGAAUGGGGAAACCCAGUGUGAUUCGUCACACUAUCAUUAACUGAAUCCAUAGGUUAAUGAGGCGAACCGGGGGAACUGAAACAUCUAAGUACCCCGAGGAAAAGAAAUCAACCGAGAUUCCCCCAGUAGCGGCGAGCGAACGGGGAGGAGCCCAGAGCCUGAAUCAGUGUGUGUGUUAGUGGAAGCGUCUGGAAAGGCGCGCGAUACAGGGUGACAGCCCCGUACACAAAAAUACACAUAUUGUGAGCUCGAUGAGUAGGGCGGGACACGUGGUAUCCUGUCUGAAUAUGGGGGGACCAUCCUCCAAGGCUAAAUACUCCUGACUGACCGAUAGUGAACCAGUACCGUGAGGGAAAGGCGAAAAGAACCCCGGCGAGGGGAGUGAAAAAGAACCUGAAACCGUGUACGUACAAGCAGUGGGAGCACGCUUAGGCGUGUGACUGCGUACCUUUUGUAUAAUGGGUCAGCGACUUAUAUUCUGUAGCAAGGUUAACCGAAUAGGGGAGCCGAAGGGAAACCGAGUCUUAACUGGGCGUUAAGUUGCAGGGUAUAGACCCGAAACCCGGUGAUCUAGCCAUGGGCAGGUUGAAGGUUGGGUAACACUAACUGGAGGACCGAACCGACUAAUGUUGAAAAAUUAGCGGAUGACUUGUGGCUGGGGGUGAAAGGCCAAUCAAACCGGGAGAUAGCUGGUUCUCCCCGAAAGCUAUUUAGGUAGCGCCUCGUGAAUUCAUCUCCGGGGGUAGAGCACUGUUUCGGCAAGGGGGUCAUCCCGACUUACCAACCCGAUGCAAACUGCGAAUACCGGAGAAUGUUAUCACGGGAGACACACGGCGGGUGCUAACGUCCGUCGUGAAGAGGGAAACAACCCAGACCGCCAGCUAAGGUCCCAAAGUCAUGGUUAAGUGGGAAACGAUGUGGGAAGGCCCAGACAGCCAGGAUGUUGGCUUAGAAGCAGCCAUCAUUUAAAGAAAGCGUAAUAGCUCACUGGUCGAGUCGGCCUGCGCGGAAGAUGUAACGGGGCUAAACCAUGCACCGAAGCUGCGGCAGCGACGCUUAUGCGUUGUUGGGUAGGGGAGCGUUCUGUAAGCCUGUGAAGGUGUGCUGUGAGGCAUGCUGGAGGUAUCAGAAGUGCGAAUGCUGACAUAAGUAACGAUAAAGCGGGUGAAAAGCCCGCUCGCCGGAAGACCAAGGGUUCCUGUCCAACGUUAAUCGGGGCAGGGUGAGUCGACCCCUAAGGCGAGGCCGAAAGGCGUAGUCGAUGGGAAACAGGUUAAUAUUCCUGUACUUGGUGUUACUGCGAAGGGGGGACGGAGAAGGCUAUGUUGGCCGGGCGACGGUUGUCCCGGUUUAAGCGUGUAGGCUGGUUUUCCAGGCAAAUCCGGAAAAUCAAGGCUGAGGCGUGAUGACGAGGCACUACGGUGCUGAAGCAACAAAUGCCCUGCUUCCAGGAAAAGCCUCUAAGCAUCAGGUAACAUCAAAUCGUACCCCAAACCGACACAGGUGGUCAGGUAGAGAAUACCAAGGCGCUUGAGAGAACUCGGGUGAAGGAACUAGGCAAAAUGGUGCCGUAACUUCGGGAGAAGGCACGCUGAUAUGUAGGUGAAGUCCCUUGCGGAUGGAGCUGAAAUCAGUCGAAGAUACCAGCUGGCUGCAACUGUUUAUUAAAAACACAGCACUGUGCAAACACGAAAGUGGACGUAUACGGUGUGACGCCUGCCCGGUGCCGGAAGGUUAAUUGAUGGGGUCAGCGCAAGCGAAGCUCUUGAUCGAAGCCCCGGUAAACGGCGGCCGUAACUAUAACGGUCCUAAGGUAGCGAAAUUCCUUGUCGGGUAAGUUCCGACCUGCACGAAUGGCGUAAUGAUGGCCAGGCUGUCUCCACCCGAGACUCAGUGAAAUUGAACUCGCUGUGAAGAUGCAGUGUACCCGCGGCAAGACGGAAAGACCCCGUGAACCUUUACUAUAGCUUGACACUGAACAUUGAGCCUUGAUGUGUAGGAUAGGUGGGAGGCUUGGAAGUGUGGACGCCAGUCUGCAUGGAGCCGACCUUGAAAUACCACCCUUUAAUGUUUGAUGUUCUAACGUUGACCCGUAAUCCGGGUUGCGGACAGUGUCUGGUGGGUAGUUUGACUGGGGCGGUCUCCUCCUAAAGAGUAACGGAGGAGCACGAAGGUUGGCUAAUCCUGGUCGGACAUCAGGAGGUUAGUGCAAUGGCAUAAGCCAGCUUGACUGCGAGCGUGACGGCGCGAGCAGGUGCGAAAGCAGGUCAUAGUGAUCCGGUGGUUCUGAAUGGAAGGGCCAUCGCUCAACGGAUAAAAGGUACUCCGGGGAUAACAGGCUGAUACCGCCCAAGAGUUCAUAUCGACGGCGGUGUUUGGCACCUCGAUGUCGGCUCAUCACAUCCUGGGGCUGAAGUAGGUCCCAAGGGUAUGGCUGUUCGCCAUUUAAAGUGGUACGCGAGCUGGGUUUAGAACGUCGUGAGACAGUUCGGUCCCUAUCUGCCGUGGGCGCUGGAGAACUGAGGGGGGCUGCUCCUAGUACGAGAGGACCGGAGUGGACGCAUCACUGGUGUUCGGGUUGUCAUGCCAAUGGCACUGCCCGGUAGCUAAAUGCGGAAGAGAUAAGUGCUGAAAGCAUCUAAGCACGAAACUUGCCCCGAGAUGAGUUCUCCCUGACUCCUUGAGAGUCCUGAAGGAACGUUGAAGACGACGACGUUGAUAGGCCGGGUGUGUAAGCGCAGCGAUGCGUUGAGCUAACCGGUACUAAUGAACCGUGAGGCUUAACCUU